rnacentral:lncRNA from 1 species
GGCAUGUAUUUGUGAUAUCACCCAGACAGUGUUUCUUGUUCAAAUUCCUUUUAAACGGUUCGGCCACAGCAGUUUUGGUUUAAACGGAUUCCUGUAAACUGUCAUUCAUAUCACGAUCGGACGGGGGGUUCAAGACAUCCGAUACUCGCUUUUGAAUGUUACUGUUAGUGGUCUUGUAUGUUCGAACGCCUAUCGUAGAGCGGUGCCCAGUCCUUUCCAUAAUCUGUUGCUCAUCUAUUCCUGCUUGAUAUAGCGCAGUAGCACAUGUUCUUUUUCCCGAGUGGUUGGUAAAGUUGCCAACCAAGCCCCCCUUUUCGCACAUUUCACGCAUUAAAUCAUUCAACUUGUUCACUCCUAACGUGGACUUUCCGUAGCGAUGCUUAUCUUGGACAUCAGAAAUAAGUGGUUUGCGAUAAAAUACGCCAGAUCCAAUUGCCUUCAAGUAUAUUUUUCAUAGAAGUCAACUAUGCAUCUUGGACCUGCAAAAGAAGAAUUAUGAACUUUAAAAUUUUCCUCCGCUAAACUUAUGUUGCAUGUAUAGACACAGAAUUAAAUAACAAUUAAGUGGUAUUUAUUACAAGUUUAAAAUUAAUAUAAAAACUAGACAAGAGGCUGUCACAACGACAGCAAACCGGAUUUAUUAAUAUUUAUUUGUGUCCUGGCAAUAUCACAAGAACCAUUACUG